rnacentral:lncRNA from 1 species
AGAAGGUCAGUUUUCUUCCUCUUCUUGAAAAAGCUUUGGGUUCCUGCAAAAUAACCCAUCCCUUAUUGCACUCCACGUCACAAGCUCGAUCGUAAAGUGGGCAAAAUUUGGUUGCCUUCCGACCUGAACCACCCAAACCCUGGGCCGUUGAGCGGUGUUCAAGCGAUGAGUGGUCAAAACACGCUGCAGUUCCUGAGGGAUUUGGUGAGUGACUCCAGCAGGUUGUCUGAAAGCAACCUUGUCCUCUACAAACCUCUUCCAAGUUACCCUGGCACACGUAGAGUGUCUUCUCAUGGAAGAGAUGCUCUUCCAAGUUCUCUGCCAGCAUUCAUCCAGUUGCAGAUUAUCCUUGCGAGGAACAAGAAGGCACCGAUGGCUAAUUAAACACGGCAAAUAUACGUCCUAGCUAGAACUGAGAACUCCCACAAGUCGCCUUUGCAAAGGCUUUGUUGGUGAUUAUGAAAGUCAAACACAUAUGAUUUUCUUCAGAGCAAGAAUAAGCCCGUGCUACAGAUAACUGCAUGUAGUCUAUGCUAAUAAAACCAGAAGUGGGCAAUAUGCUCAUUGCUGUUUGGGGAAUUGCUGUAGAUUGUGUUAGGCACUGUCAUCUUUAGGCAUAUUGAUGAUGGUCAUGGUUGCCCAAAAGAUUUUAUCACUUAUGUUGUCUGAGAACUUUCAAACAUACGUUCAAUUUUUUUUUUUUUUUUUAAUUCUCCAAGGAAAAUAAUAGAAAAUCUCCAGAUUUUUAACAUUUAACAUUUUUAACAUCUUUCUUUUAACAUUUUGGCCUUUUUCCUCUCCAUGUCCCAGUUUUUCCAUCUCCUAAACGAUGCCAAAAUCCACUUUACAGGAACGUUGGAAGGCUUUAAUGACAGAUCAGAAGUGUGCUGAGCUCCUUGCUGGAGGGUGCCAUGUGUUAUGGUUAAUAAUGCAGACCCAAGUGACAACAGGAAUUACAAAGGGUGCUGUGAUGCCAUCCCAGAACUCUGCAGGCACGUUCCGAGGUAUGACAUUCACAUUUGUGCUCUGGUGGAAAACCUGGUGUUCCCUGAGCUCUGGGGGACUCCUCCUGUCUUUGGACGUCUCUUCCAGCACAGCAGACGCCACCUGCAGCAUCCCUCCCAAGGAGCUCCGCUUUCAAGAAAUGCACACGCGAGGUUCUCAGCUCUGGAUUUUCCCGAGAUACCAUUGGGGGAUUUUCCCGAGUUGUUCUCCUGCCCAGAUGUUAUUCUUCAGAGUUCUGUUUUGCCGCUAGAGCGAAAAACACAAGGUCUUGAAGAACUCGCAGCCAUAACAAAGGCGAGAAGCAAAGAAGCGAGCCAAACCAACAGAAGGUCCCUGGGGAGCAGAGCAGCACUGAAUCCGCCUGGCCAGGGGAUGUGCAGAGCUCUCGGUGGCUCAGCCUCCAGCUCCUGCCCUGAGAAGGGCUCCUCCUCCACGGGUCCAGUGGAAUGGGUUAAAAGGGGAAAAGGCAGAAGGCUCUCACCCUCAAUUUAA